rfam:Oryza brachyantha chromosome 7, whole genome shotgun sequence.
AAUAACCUUAUUUUUCGUUUUUCCGUGUCCAAUCUUUGACCAUUCGUCUUAUUUGAAAAUUUUGUUAAAAUUUUUAAAAAAAUAGUCACUUAUAAAGUACUAUUUAUAUUUUAUCAUCUAGUAACAAUAAAAAUAUUAAUCGUAAAAAAAAUUCAAAUAAGACGAAUGGUCAAACGUUGGACACGGAAAAACA